CUAGCCAGCCAGCCAGCCAUGGUGUCCUCCUCGGCGUCCGGCGGCAACGGGUGCACGGCGGCGGCGGUGCGGGAGGUGGCGACGGCGCGGUUCGCGCGGCAGGUGGUGCUGGGGCGCUGGUUCAUGGUGUUCGCCUGCCUGCUCAUCCUCUCCGCGUCGGGGGCCACCUACAUCUUCGGCCUCUACUCCAAGGUGCUCAAGUCGGCGCUGGGCUACGACCAGCAGACCCUCAACACCUUCGCCUUCUUCAAGGACCUAGGCGCCAACGUCGGCGUCCUCUCCGGCCUCAUCAACGAGGUCACGCCGCCCUGGGUCGUGCUCGCCAUCGGCGCCGCCAUGAACCUCGUGGGGUACCUCAUGAUAUACCUCGCCAUCGACGGCCGCACGGCGCGCCCGCCGGUGUGGCUCAUGUGCGUCUACAUCUGCGUCGGCGCCAACUCGCAGUCCUUCACCAACACCGGCGCGCUCGUCACCUGCGUCAAGAACUUCCCGGAGAGCCGCGGCGCCGUGCUGGGCCUGCUCAAGGGCUUCGUCGGGCUCAGCGGCGCCAUCUUCACCCAGCUCUACAUCGCCAUCUACGGCGACGACGCCAAGUCGCUCGUGCUGCUCGUCGCAUGGCUCCCCGCCGCCGUCUGCAUCGUCUUCGUCCACACCGUGCGCAUCAUGCCGCACCGCCCCGUCCGGCGCUGCGGCGAGGAGGAGACAGCCGCCACCACCAGCGACCCCUUCUACUGCUUCCUCUACAUCUCCAUGGCGCUCGCCACCUACCUGCUCGUCAUGAUCGUGGUGCAGAACCAGCUGGACCUCUCGCACCCGGCCCUCGUCGUGUCCGCCACCGCGCUCAUGCUCAUCCUCCUCCUCCCCCUCGCCGUCGUCGUCAAGCAGGAGUACAGGAUCAAGAGGGAGCUCGAGGAGUCCCUCCUCGUGACCCCGACGGUCACCGUCCAGAAGCCAGCUGCGCUCCAAAUGGCCGCCAAAACAGAGACAGAAACAGAGGACGCGACGACGUCGGCGGGAACGUUGGCUUCGCCGGCACGGCCGCCGUCUUCGAGCAGCUGCUUCGGGUCGUCCUGCUUGAAAGAGAUGUUCAACCCGCCGGCGCAGGGGGAGGACUACACGAUCCUGCAGGCGCUGGUGAGCGUGGACAUGCUGGUGCUGUUCCUGGCGACCAUCUGCGGCGUGGGGGGCACGCUGACGGCGAUCGACAACAUGGGCCAGAUCGGGCAGUCCCUGGGCUACCCGCCCAAGAGCAUCAAGACCUUCAUCUCCCUCAUCAGCAUCUGGAACUACGCCGGCCGGGUCACCGCCGGCUUCGCGUCCGAGGCGGUGCUGGCGCGCUACAAGUUCCCGCGCCCGCUCAUGCUCACGCUCGUCCUCCUCCUCGCCUGCGUCGGCCACCUCCUCAUCGCCUUCGGCGUGCCGCAGUCGCUCUACGCCGCCUCCGUCGUCAUCGGAUUCUGCUUCGGCGCGCAGUGGCCGCUGCUCUUCGCCAUCAUCUCCGAGCUCUUCGGACUCAAGUACUACUCCACGCUCUACAACUUCGGCUCCGUCGCCAGCCCCAUCGGCGCCUACGCGCUCAACGUGCGCGUCGCGGGCUACCUCUACGACGUGGAGGCCGCCAGGCAGCACGGCGGCACGCUGGACGGCGCCGGCGACAAGAGCUGCGUCGGCGUGCAGUGCUUCAAGCUCGCCUUCCUCAUCAUCACGGCCGUCACCGUCGCCGGCGCGCUCGUCUCGCUCCUGCUCGUCUGGCGCACCCGCAACUUCUACCGCAGCGACAUCUACGCCAAGUUCAGGGACGCCGCCCCCGCCGACGGCGAGCCACGGAAGCAGGCCGAGUCAAGCGCGGUCAACGGGAGUAGUGAGUAG
rnacentral:rRNA from 1 species